rnacentral:hammerhead_ribozyme from 1 species
AUCCAGCUGACGAGUCCCAAAUAGGGCGAAACGUGCAU